rnacentral:lncRNA from 1 species
AAAAAAUGUAUUUUUGAAAUUGCAACACUAUCCCCUAUUUAAAGAAACUACAUGAGGCGCUGUAUUAACAACACAUAUGUUGACUAGCUCAACUGGCCCAAGCAGAGCUCAGAAUGCUGGAGAGAGUGGUCUUUGGAUAGAUGACUCCAGGAAGCUCUUGUAGGUCCCUGGGACGUGCCCCUCUUUCCAUCCUUCUUUCUUUCCCAUCACUCAAAUCUCUCUCUGACACCAUUUGACUUCUCAGCAUUGCCCUUUGUUAAUCGUAAUAGAAAGACAAUGUUAUUGAUUACAUGUUUUUCUAUUUUAUCUUCUUAUUCAUAAAUGAUCUCAAAAAUGAAUGUCAUAAAUAAUAAACAUGUUGUUGAAUUUUUGUCCCAUAGGAGCAGCCUCUUUCCUUCUCAGGAUGUGCACUCCUAAUAAACUGGGACCGUGAAGGAGGGACCUGAAGCUGCCCCAAACCACCUGCAGUUCCAUGAAGGCCAUGCCUCCACCCACUAAUCACUCUGAAAGUAGUGCCCCUCCACUCUUCCCCAACCACAUUUCCUUUUCAGGCAAAAACAUUUCUAUGGGUUUGUUAGACCCUAGCUUCUAAUCCUUUCUUCAGUCUUUACUGAUCUGAAGCCACUCUCUCCUUUGAGGCUUCUAAAUUAUCUGUAUAGCCUUUCUCCAUUCAGCAAAUUUUCAUCAGGCAAAAAUCCUACUUGACGCUAGUUAUACUCAGAGUAAAAUAACUAUGUUCCUGUCUUAAAUGAGAAUUCUUCACAGGUGGAAAGCAGAUUUGGAAUCCACUACAACUCCAAGGCAGUGGAGCUAAUGUAGCCUCCCCUGGGCUACAGGGGAAGCCUUCUUCUGUGGGCCCGGGAAUUGAAGAACUAGACAGGCAUAAGAAGGACAAGUGUGGUGCCCAAUGGAGCAAGAGAAGGGGGGAGGAAGGUGACAGGGAAGGGAAAUGGCAGGAGAAGCACCUACACAGCAGACACGGUAUAGCCUGCAUCUGUUUUUCCUUUUGGCUGAGAGAUCCCUGAGCUCUGUGGUGACAAUUUUCCAUAAUUUUUCAUAUAAAAAAUGAAGAUUAUAAACUAUUUCUAGGCAUUUUACCUGCAUUACUAUUAAUAUGUGUACAGCAUCUAAAAU